rnacentral:sRNA from 1 species
GUAUGAGCCACUGCACCCAGCCCUGCUUUCAGUUUUACAAACAGGAGAUGUUCAUAAAAUUCCAAAGAUAAUUCAUUGCUUCAAACUAUAACUAUGGCAUAUAUGUGACAUAUUAUUUUCUUAGGCUGAAUGUGCUUAAUUUAGCAUUCCCAGGUUUACAUGACAUUUGACUGGAAGCAACUUGUUUGUUUUUGAGGCAGGGUCUCAUUCUAUUGCCCAGGCUGGAGUGCAGUGGUGCGAUCUUGGCUCACUGCAAUUUCCACCUCCUGGGCUCAAGCAAUCCUCCCACCUCAACCUCCUGAGUAGCUGGGACUACAGGCACGUGUCACCAAGCCUAGCUAAUAUAUAUAUAUAUAUAUAUAUAUAUAUAUAUAUAUUUUGUUUGUUUGUUUGUUUUGUUUUGUUUUUUGUUUUUGUUGAGUCUGGGUUUCACCAUGUUGCCUAGGCUGAACUUGAACUUCUGAGUUCAAGUGAUUCCUCCACCUCGGCCUUCCAAAGUGCUGAUUACAGGCAUGUACCACCAUGCCUGGCCUAGCAACUAGUCUUUUAUUGUAUGAUAGAGACUGAUUUGACACUGUAUUAUUUAUUUGUUUCUUGGAACCUGUAUGAAAUGUUUGGGGGAAAAAUUAGUUGGUAUAUUGUAGCCAUUACUGUAUUUGAACUUUUCAUGAAGUUCUAUUAUGAGAUUUUAAAAUCUUAACUGAAAGCACUCAGAAGUAUUUCACAUUUCUUUAAUCAUUUUAUUCAUAUGGUUCUUAUUAUACCUAUGUUCUUAGGAUUGUUUUCUGUUUUGUUUAGAAGCCUAGAAAAUGUGUAGGGCUUUCAUUGAUCUUAUUGAAGAUUUUAACAGAGUUGUGGACAUAAUAGAUUACCUCUCAAUAGCAGGGAUAAAUAUUGGUUUUUGAUCAAGAAUAUGAAAUGAGUUGUUUGUCCUGAACCACCCCCAAGCAGGAAAGACUUGCAGCAUUACCAGAAUUUUUUCUUUUAUCCUUUAUUGAAAGGGAAACUCCCAGAUAGAAUGUGUAACAUACAAGUUGGUGUUAAAGAUGUUUGUUGGUUUUGUGUUUAAAUGCAAAGAUCAUGUUUAAAUUACUUGAAUAAAAUAUUUAGCUUUGGAAAGGUUUGCUAUGAUACUGUCAUCAACUAAUGUAGCCAAACCUGCUGCACUUCUAAUAAUACCCUUAAAUUAAUUCUGGGUUAUGCUUGUUUCUCAGUUACUCUUUCAACCUGAUCAGAACGCACCACCAAUUCGUCUCCGACACAGACGAUCACGCUCUGCAGGAGACAGAUGGGUAGAUCAUAAGCCCGCCUCUAACAUGCAAACUGAAACAGUCAUGCAGCCACAUGUCCCUCAUGCCAUCACAGUAUCUGUUGCAAAUGAAAAGGCACUAGCUAAGUGUGAGAAGUACAUGCUGACCCACCAGGAACUAGCCUCCGAUGGGGAGAUUGAAACUAAACUAAUUAAGGGUGAUAUUUAUAAAACAAGGGGUGGUGGACAAUCUGUUCAGUUUACUGAUAUUGAGACUUUAAAGCAAGAAUCACCAAAUGGUAGUCGAAAACGAAGAUCUUCCACAGUAGCACCUGCCCAACCAGAUGGUGCAGAGUCUGAAUGGACCGAUGUAGAAACAAGGUGUUCUGUGGCUGUGGAGAUGAGAGCAGGAUCCCAGCUGGGACCUGGAUAUCAGCAUCACGCACAACCCAAGCGCAAAAAGCCAUGAACUGACAGUCCCAGUACUGAAAGAACAUUUUCAUUUGUGUGGAUGAUUUCUCGAAAGCCAUACCAGAAGCAGUCUUC